CACACACGCACUAUAGCGAAGUAAGCAAAAAGAGGUAAACUAGAUAGCAACAGAGUAAACCGCACACGGAAGCUAGGUAAAAUACGUGAAAAGGUGUACAACGUAAACAAGAGAGCGGGAGGUACCAACUCCCGGUGGAAAAACCUGAAAGUAGGCUUUGAUGCGCCCGAGGUCAAAAAAGAGGCAAACUAGAUAGCAACAGAGUAAACCGCACACGGAAUGCUAGGUAAAAUACGUGAAAAGAUGUACAACAUAAACAAGAGAGCGGGAGGUACCAACUCCCGGUGGAAAAACCUGAAAGUAGGCUUUGAUUUCCUGAAGCUUAUCGUAACGUGUAGUUCUGUUGCGUCCUGCCAAAAGUCUG
rnacentral:lncRNA from 1 species